CCUACGGGCGGCAGCAGUAGGGAAUAUUGCUCAAUGGGGGAAACCCUGAAGCAGCAACGCCGCGUGGAGGAUGAAGGUUUUCGGAGUGGAAACUCCUUUUGGUAGAGAAGAGAAUGACGGUAGCUAACGAAUAAGCACCGGCUAACGCCGUGCCAGCAGCCGCGGUAAUACGGAGGGUGCAAGCGUUACUCGGAAUCACUGGGCGUAAAGAGCGCGUAGGCGGGAUAGCAAGUCAGAUGUGAAAUCCUAGGGCUUAACCCGAGAACGGCAUUUGAAACGGUUAUUCUAGAGUCUGGGAGAGGUCGGUGGAUUUCUUGGUGUAGUGGUCAACUCCGUCGAGAU
rnacentral:rRNA from 1 species